rnacentral:tRNA from 1 species
GCUGGAAUGGCCGAGUAGUUAAGGCGAGUGAUUUGAAUUUCUUACGUAAUCUUUACGCAAUCAUCAAAUAUCACUUGGUGUUUCACCGCGUAGGUUCAAAUCCUGCUUCCAGCG